GCAGCCGCAGCCCCUGGCGCUAACGGUCGGUAACGGCCCGCGCGCGCCGCCCGCCGGGGGCUCGCGCCAGCCACGAGGGAGCGUCCGCGGCCCGCGCGCCCGCGCGGCGGAGGAGAGGUGAGCCCCCGCCCGGGCCAGGCCCUCUGGCCGCGCCGUCCGCCCCUCUAGUCGUGUCCCCUCGUGGGCCGAACGGACGCGGCGGUGCCCCGCGCCCGACCAGACGUCCCGUGGGCUAGGGCCUGGGCCUCGGGCCGCGUCGGCGCCGGUCGAGCCUCUCCGGGUGUCGGGGUUCGGGGCGGGCGCGCGUGGGCGUGGCUCCUCUGUCCACGCCUGUUCCCUUCGUCGCCGCGGCUCUCGUCCGGGACACGGCUUUCCGGAGUAGAGCCCUUGGAGGUUUGUGCCACCGAGAACCCGAGUCUGUCACACAGACAUCCUCAUUACAUCAUCCUGCCACUCCGGCAGUCCCGCGCUUUCUCCCCCCACCCCCGCCCCCGCCCCCGCCCCCGCCCCGUGGCUUGUUUGUUGGUUGUUUUUUUAAUUUUUUUAACCCCUUUUCUUGUACUGUCUUCUUUUUGGUGUCAGGGGCUGGAGAGACUCCUGCAAGAUAUUGAGGCAUUUAGAAUGUAUGGUUCUGUUGCCGUGGUUGUCACCUCCGCUCUACGCCAAAUUUAAGACUCAUUUCUUAAGGAUGUCUCUAUUUUCUGCUUUAUUUGCACAUUGAUGGCUCUGCUGCUCAGCUGGCCACGGCCGCCCGGCGUCUGAGAUAGAAUUGUGUUAAUAUGAGAAAGGGAACGGCCGAUCAUGAUUAGCAGGCAGACGGCAUGCAGAUAGCAUCUGGCGGGUUUUCUCCGUUUUUAUAUGAAAGCGUUCACUUGUUUGCUGGUAAACACGAGGUUUUAACUUUUUAUCUGGGUAGUGGUGACCGUUUGUUUCACUCUCCCCUCCUUUUUACUUCCUAUUCAUUAGCUUUUCCGUUUGGAAAGCUGCAUACUUGUUAGCGGUAGUUUGGUGUCUUGACUCUGAAGCUUUCUCUUCCAGCAGAGGUGGGAUCUGUAUCCCUCCCAUCCUAGGUUACCAAGAAGACUUUUUCUCCCCUUACUUUCUAUUGAAUUUGUGUCUUUCCCAACAUUUAAACUUACACUAGGGAUAAGUUUGCUCGGGUUGUUUUUGACGUAGGACUAUUAAAUAUUCUCAUUUUGAAACUUCCUAAAGGUUUAUUGGUUUGUCAUGUCUGCACCGAUCCAGUUUCGCAUAACUCUUAAAAUUUAAAGCUUUAAAGUACGGUUCGCAAUUGUAUUGUCAAGACAUGGCCCUAGAGCUUGUUCUUCAAGUUUUGGCUGUACAGUUGUCAUUGUUUCAGUCAAGUGCAAAAGAGGUUAUUCCUGUUUAUUUAGUGUUAAUAGCUAUUUACAGUUAAAACUUUAAAGACUCAUAGAAGUAGGUCUGCUGUAUUUUAAAGAUCUCAUCAUUCUUGUGGGAGAGACACAACACCAACACCAGGAAAGGCAACAGAUUGCUUCUGUCAUAUCGCUUUGCUGUUUUGGAGUGUACUUAAAGGAUUAUGAUUGAUAAGGCUGUCUUGCCAGAGAAUGUUGACACAGGUGUGCAUCGUUAUCUUAAUUAAGAUCCUGAGAAAAUGUUGUCUAUAAAUGGUGACAUAAGAAGGGCGGCAUAUUUUUGUACAGUUUUGCUUUUGGAGAAUUUAAUUGCACUUGAAACCUGUCUUUGAGCUUCCAGAUUUUGUGAGCACUUUAGCAACAGAAGUUUUAGAGAGAAAUGAUAGUUUAAUGUUAAGUGUUCUGGCAUGUACUAAUACUACUUGUGGCUUUUUGGCAAUGCCUGUGUCGGCUUUCUUUGUGCUCUACCUUUGUGGAAUAAUGGUUUCUAAUUUUGAAAGAAAAGCAUAAAAUAGAGCAGUAUUUUAUUAAGCAAACACUUGUUAGUGUUCAGAAUAAGUCUGUAGAGGAGGGCAUGCUUAAUGUGCAGAAACAGGAAUAUAAUAAGAGGUAAAUAUAUGAGAAAUUUAUGCUAUUUCGUUUUUUUGGAAAAGAAACAGUCUCCUGGGGUGCCUUAAUGAUCUAAAACAAUUUCUUUUUCAUAUCAUUAAAUACCUAGAUACAAUGUUUACGGAAUGCCUUGUUUUUAUUUCUAAAAAUAGAAGAAAACUGUUUUAUUUCUUCCAAAAUACUGUUCUGUGUGUUUGAAUUGAUGAGUAAGUGAAGAUAGUGCAUUUAGUCUCUUACUAGUUUAAGGAUCUGAGUCAUAACCUGGGUGACCACUAAAAUAAUAUUGCUGUUCUUUACUACAAAUCUCGGAAUGCAAAAACACUGGCAAGAUGGAUGCUGUUGAUGAUAUUACCCUUGGCUUACCCAGCACCUAAUACCUUUUAACAUAAGUAUUGCAUUAAGAUUUUCUCUUCUCUUUGUAGCUUAGGAUUUCCUGGAAGCUGGCUGUCUAUCAGUGUGUAUGUAAGAAGUGUGUAUGUUUUUCUUUAAUAUUAAAAGUCACUGUAAAAAGAGGAAAUGAAAGUGGAGGAGACCAUAGGCAUAUGAUCGGAAAAGCCAGGUGUAGAGUCACAGCUCAUUCUUGACUCCAAGGAUAAUUACCUGGUUAGAAUUACAUGGUAAACUAAAAGAAAGACUUACGUAGAUUUGUUUGCUAAAACUAAAACAAGACCAUUAAUUUUGAGAUAAUUGCUUUAUUUAUCUCCCAUACCACCCCUAAUCAAAAUUUUUUUCCCCUCUGGCAGCUAUGAUGAGCAUUCUUAUGCUGUUAUCCAUGUGUUAUUUUCAAAUUUGAUAUAUUGCAUUAAAAGAGAUGAAAUAGGAAUAUGAACUAAUUAUCCAUUUUAACGAAUAACUCAAUAAUUAUUAUUAUGUGUAUACAUUCUAGAAAUCUUAGGAAAAAAUGUUCUUUAGUUGAUAACAGGAAAGUAAAUUAAAUCAUGUAAUCCUGAGUGAAUUAAAUAUGCUCUUCAAAAUAGAUGAUGAACAUAGCAUCAUACUUUGGAAUAAUGUUUUAACUCUGGGAUAGUACAGCCUGUUUUGAGUGGUAGUAUUUCAUUAUCUUUAUAUGUUUCUCUUCAAUAUCUCUUUUUUGUUGACUCCUAUAUUUUAACAUCUUUUUGGUAUAUUUGUUAGCUGUUUAUAGGGAAUAAUUUUUCUUAAUAGAAUAGCAGCUGGUGCAACUCUAAGAACAUGUCAAAUCUAGGAAUUCUUUUUUCCUUUUUCAAUAAUGAGUGGUUUGCUUUCAUAGCACUGCUCUGAAGUGUGAUGCUGAAGGCUUAUUUCUGCAUAAAUCUGCAGUGUUUUUAUAGCUGUAGUGUACCUAAGCACCAAUUUAGCUUAGCAAAUUAACUUAGAUGCUUCAAAAUUGAAAACCAGUAUAUUCUAAUGUAGUUUGAGUUUAAGUCUUUAUUAGUAAGGAUGCACUUAACAUUUGUUCAGGAGAAGAGAAUAUAAUUUUCUCCUGCAGUUGUCAUUUACGUAAUCCAUUUUUCUAGUCUUUUCUCAGGCUAAUGAUAUUCCAUACCUUGAUACAGCUUUUAUUUGUUUAUUUGCCAUAAUAUGGAGUGAUACCUUCGAGAAAAUUAGAUAUUUGAAUCUAAUAUCCCAAAAGUAUUACUUAGUUUUCUGUGUUUCCUUAAACAGAAUCAUUUCCAUUUUCGGUGCAGGUGUUAAGUGUGAUGCUUCCAUAAUACAUUUGGAUGCUGUCAGCUAAGUUCACUUCUGAACUAAGGGGUUCCUCCAAAUGUUGGCUGAAAUUCAUCCCAAGGCUGGUCUGCAAGUGAGUGUCUGCACACAGUUUGCUUGUAUGUGGAGUCGAUCCAAAAUAGCAUCAAUGUUGGUUUUACCAAAGUAUUUAUUAUUGAUAAUAGAGGCUAAGUACAAAAUGUAGAGAAUGUCAGCUACUUGAGGCCUUUGAUUAUUAAAAAUUUUAUUAAUGCAUUAAACAAGAGUACAGUAAAUAGAUAAAUUUUAGGUUCAUGAAAUAAAACUGAAUAAUUUAUUUUUACUUACUAUUUAUCAUGGAAUUACUUUGAAUAAUUUAUUUUUAAUGGUAUAAUUGGACAGUAAAAUUUAUAAACUCAGUGCUUUUCAUAAAAAUCAAAGUGAAGUUUGUAAUAUUUUAUACAAAUAGAAUUAUUAUUUAAGAGAAAUAACCUGUUUAUGCCUAAUUACAGUUUUUAAUCAUUUCAGUUACCUAUUUCUUUUAAGAAUAAAUUUAGUGGGAAUAUCAGUUCCAGUCAUGGGUACCAAACUUUUUUAGUGACAGAGUACACACAGGUAUGUAAAACUUGUCAUUUCUCAUCAAAUAGAGGCUGCUGAAUAUAGGCAGGUAAGAAAAGCUAUGAGAAAGAAUUGUUUUGCAGAAUAUUUGUCUAGUUGUCAGAGCAAGGAACUGAAUUUAUUGACACAGAACAUUUUAUUAAGUAAAAAAAAUGGUUCUUAUAACAAAAAAAAAAGCUAAUUUUACAGAAGGCAGUAGUUAAUAUAGCCGCCAAUAAAAUAAAUGUUUCUCUGAAUACUUUCCGAGGCAUUACAGUGAUUUUUAACUAAUAUGAAGUGAUAUAUAAUAAUUUUAAAGUAACAUCCUUGAGUUUUCCUAUUAUUAAUUGCUUAUGGAAAUUGGGUUUCACGUAUGACUGAGAGCUAAAGCAUUACAGUGAGUUAGAAAACACAACACAAAUGUAAAGAAAAUGUUAGGUGGUGAGUAAUCUGAUUCCUUUUUGUUUGCCUUUAAGCUUAGUUUUUUGUUUUGUUUUACUUUGUUUUAAACCAUGUAUAAAAUUGUUGAAUUUAAAAGAUAAGAGGAUUAAGUAAUUUCUUUUUUCCUCCUAAGGAUAAAUGUAGGAAAAAUCUAAACACAUAGGCAGAUUGGUUGAGUUUUAUAUCUGUUAUCGGCCACAUUUAUUAAGAUUCAUAUUUCAUGUAUAUUAGAGGUAUUCACAUGUAUUAAAAUUCUUAUAUUCCUUCUAUAUAAAAUAGAUGUAGGGGGUUCCCACUCUUGAAAAUAUGAAGAAAAGAUGUCCUUUCAGCAAUAAUGGGUUAUGGUUGAUUAACUGAGAAGGUUGUAUUAAACGUUCUCUAGUAGAAAUGGCUAAAGAGCAUGCUUUUUGAGAAGUGUAUCAUCUAGGAAGAAAAUCAAAUGGAGUAUUGGUAAUUAAAUUGUAAUUCCAUGAAGGAAGGAAGUGGUGCAAAAGAUGAAGCUAACUAUUCCUGUUUUUCUUUUUAAGAGUCUGCAAUUCAUAAUGGAGCUACUGUACUGGCUAUUGGAAGGAGGAGAUUCUGAAGAUAAGGAGGUAAUAUUAUCUCUUUUAAAAGAAUACUUUCCUCUGUAAUCCUGAAUCUUUAUUACAUGUAAGAACUUUGUGCAGUAGACAGCAAUUUCUUUGAAUUUGGUAUAUGGAAACAAUUUUAUUUUCCUCUGCUAAGUUUUUGAGCCUGCCUCUUCUAGUGCCAUGGACUGCAUUGGUAGAGCUGAGAAAUAUCAUUUAGCCAUACUCAGCACCCUUAAAAUAGCUUCUUUCUGAGAAUUAGAUCUGUGAAGGUGUCCUGCACAGUUCUUGUAGAUGUCAUUUUAGUUUGUGGUUGACGUGCAUGCAUUUAGCAUGUUGCUUAACCGUCCUCAUUCGCCUCCCAGUUCUUUGUUGCCUUCAUUUGGGGGGAUGUGUUUUCUGCUGGAUGAUUUACUGCUAGACAUGACCAAACUCUGAGUAUAAGACUUGGUGUUUGGCAGCUGGUUCCAGUGCUCUGCUGAGAAGUAGUUGGGCCCAGCCUGGGGCAUUGUAGUGUCCUGGAGGCCGGGAGCUCCUGCACAGGGGUUCUUUUCCUGGUUCAGAGCCUUAGGUGCCUUUCCACUUUUCACGUAAUCUUUUCCUAGGUUGGCUUGCUGCUUACUUUGCAGCUGUUGCAGGGAUUCACAUGGAAUGGAGGGCUCCCUUUUAUUGUGGAUUAUUUCUUUGAUAAUUUACCCAUGUGCUUUUUCAUUUUCAAAAACCCAGUGGUGUUUAAGAAUGAAAGAUUCUUGAAGAACAAAAAUUGGGUUAAAUUUGUAUCUAUCAGAAAAGAUUCUAUCCUCUGAUGCUAUGUAGGCACAUUGAAUAUGCAGGCUAAAUUAAAAACAGAGUAAAACCUUUUUAUAAUAUGCCAAUUACUAUAUCUAAGAAUGUUUAUACAGGCUGAAAUUUUGUAAUGGUAUUUAUAUCUGUUUUCCUUUUUAAGGAAAAUAAUAUACUUUUCUAGGCAUCAAAAAUAUCUGCCCCUUUCACUAAUGCUGAUGUACCACCUUCCCCCAACCCCCAACGCUAAAUUUGACUGGCUUAAAAACAUCUGCCCCCUGAACUAUAUCUGGGGAGGAAUAUUAAUAAAACAAUGAAGGACUUCAUGGUGUCUAGUUAUAUAAUUAGGAAAUUGGUUAGAAACGUGGCUAAAACCAGUUUCUUUCAUUAAAAGAACUAGUGUACAUUUAAAAACAAAAACCUUCAGGAAAAAGACUCUUUGAUCUUUAAGUCAAAUAGUAUUUUUGGUUAACACAGCAGGAAGGGGAAAUAUACCAAUUUCAGAUUCUUUUAUUUAUGCCUAAGUAGAGGUUGUAAGCAGCUAAGGAAGUGAUUAAAAUGUAGUCUAGUAAAAAAUGGUGCUGAUUACUUGGAAAGCAGUUUACAUUUGCAAAAAAAUUCAGUAUUAUGACCUUCACCAACUUUUACACAUCAUAUACUUGGGUUAUUACUUAUGGUAUAGCUUGUGUAUGGAAUGCAAGGGUAUUUUCAAAUUGACUAGGUCUUGCUGGUCAUCUUAAAAUAUGUUACAAUAUUACAAAAUUGAAAUGUAAUAUUUUUUAAUAGAAGGAAAAUAUAAAUUUAAUAUCUGGGCAAUUGAGACCUUUAAACUUACUUUAAAAGUAUGAUCUUGAUGUAUAUGAUACUGUUUUGUCUUUGCUAUAUUAACAGAAUUAGAGGGGUGUUCUGCAAUUCAAAUACCUUAUAUAUUCCAAAUUUUAUUCUCUAUAAUGGACUUUUAAAAUAAAAGGUAUAUGUGCUUCAAGAGGGCAAAAUUUGAAUCAUGAGCUAAUUUGCUAAGCAUCAGAUUAUAGAAAAGCAUCCUUGAUUAAUUUGGAACUGUGAAAGGGGGCGGGUAAAACUGUUUUCUGCAGAAAUUUACUAGUGCAGCAACCAUUUAAAUUAAAUGUUUGUUAACAUAAUAGUGAUGGCAUUUUCUCCUCCCCCUCCUUGUGGUUUUGUCCAACUAGAUGUUACAGUGGCAGUUGCACUGACUGUUAAGUGUUUAAAUGAUGACACCAUUAUGUGAAGUGAUUUUGAAAUGAGAGAUUCCAGCCAAGAAUUACAUCUGCUCCCAUCUCCUUCAAAUCAUACUCUCUGGCAGUACAGAUUAUGAUUGAUUUGUUUGUGACAGAUUGCAGGAAACAGUCAUUGAUUUUUCAAUAUUUUACCUUAAAAUUAUUUACAGUUGUAACCAUGGGGAGGUAUUUUCAUGGGCUGUCAGCCCCUGAAAGACUAGGAUAAUAUUCCCUGCUCUCUGACAAGACAAAUUACCUGUAAUGAGUGCAGUAGCUGAAGGGUAUACUUUUAUUUUAAAAUAUGUCAAUAACCCCAGUGACUAAACGAAUAUUGAUUUAGCAUAAUGAAGCCUGAGUAACGUGAAAAUGAGCUUUUUCAAGGGGCAUGGUAAAGUCUUUCUUUUUAGCUGGUUGUAAGAAGCUUUUGAUUCUUUUCAGCCAGCUGGUAGGAAUAUAGAAUUUUAUAAGCAAACCAUCAGGAAUGAUAGUGUUGUUUCUGAUAAGCAACAUCCAAAUAUUUUGACCCUGCUUUUAGUGGUUUUUUUCAAAUCUUAUUUUGAGUCUUACUUUUAGUCAUAGAAUAGCUACUGAUUUGAUGCGGUCUUUAACUGACUUAAUAUUUUUACAAUUUCAAUAUAUUUUGCAUUGGAAUCUCCAGUAAUGAAUAUUAAAAUAUAUGUACAAUCAUUUGUAGAUGAUAUCAAUUAUAUUAAGACAUUUCAGAUGGGCUAUUGUAGUAUUUAAUGUGCCGUAUUUUAUGGUAGAAUAAUUCUCAGUCUCUGGACAUCAAGAUUGCUUUCAGUGGGAAUGAAGAUUAAUUUACUUCAGUCCUGAUUUUUUAGGCAUCAAUGCAUGUUUUCAUUUUUGUCAGACUUUUACCCUCUUUUAAUGUAAUUCUCAACUUCUUAUGGAUUUACUUCCCAAUACAUAAAAUCCUUCAAAACAAGAAUGAUAAUAAUUUUUAUACUUUUUAUAAAAAUAAAUUUAUUUUUAGUCCAUCAAGGUGUCUGAAGAUUUUAUGCCUAGGUAUCUCCAUAUCUAACUUGAUAAGGAAAAUAGGAUAAACAAUGCUGGUAAUAGCAGGAAAGUAAGUAUUUGAAUAAGAUGUCAAACUGAUAUUUCAUGUGAACCUAACUCAUUUUAUGGUAACUAAUAAUUAUCUUAUUUAAAUCAAUAGGUAAAACCUGUUUAGAAAUUAAAAAUGAGUUACGAUUUAAAGAAAAUUCAGAUGACUCAUUGUGAGUGCUAGUUCUCUUGUAGGAUGCCACUGGAAAUGUUGAAAUGAAAAAUGUAAGUAUAUCUUUUGGUGGAAAAAAGGAUAGUCUCUAGGACACAAAAUUACUGUUUUAUUUUUUUCUCAGGAGUUUGCCUAAGGGUGUGACAGAUGAUCUCUGUCACUUGUCUUAGUUGUGUCCUGCAAUAAACUGGAUGCUUUAUAAAAUACUAGACCUGUGAUUUCGUAUGCUGUAAUAUUUCAUUUCUCCAUCACCCCUCCAAAUUAUUUCUUAGUUUGGAGUAAAAUAAUAAAUGUAUUAUAGUCAACAUCUCUUGACCCCUCUUUAGUUUCAGCUAAACUAAGCAUGUGUGUUUGUGUGUUCAUUUUAUAGUUCAUGUGUAGAACUAUGUGAAUUAAAUUUAAGAAACAUGUAAAGUAGAGGAAAUAGUUUUCUGGAGAAAUUUUUCCUUUUUGGAUAUUAUGCCCUUUUCCAUUGCUUUUCUCUGCUUGAAAGCAAAAAAAAGUACCCUACCCCUGUUCUCCUUUAGGGAAAAACUAUUCCUAUAAAGUAUUUUUAAAUCGUGCAAGUCAUUGCCUAGGGUUAGCUAAAACAUUUCUUUUUAAAAAGGAGAAAAUGCCCUGGCUUUAACAUUUUCUUGUAUUUGUAUCUAUUAAGAUAAACAGUUUACUUUGAUACAGUACAUACCAAUCUACUUAAUUUUUUUUCCAGGAUUCCUUUUACUAUGUUUGGUCUGACCUUUUAUGAUAACUUAAUAUGGGAACAAAUUAGCAUAUAAUUCUAUUUUCCAUGUGACCUCAACCAGUUGCAGAAUUGUACCACUACUUUAGGGGGGGCAAUUUGACAGUUUAUGUAGACUAUAGCAUUAAUUGUUCCCAAAUGUUCAGUGCAUCCUGGCUAAUGUGUUAUUGAAGGUGUUUUCACGUAAGCAGUUAGAGGAAGCACUUCACCCCUAUUACUAAGUUAUUAAAAUGCCUCCUAAAGGUAGCAUUUUAAAUUAGUAUACAUAAUUGAUUAGUAAUUUGUCUUCUCCCAAGCAUAAAACAGCAUAGCAGAGUUAAGUGUGACCAGUGAAGUAUAAGAUAUUAGGGAUUGAUGGUGACAAUGAUCAUAGCAACUAAAUGGAUUUUUUUUUUCUUUUAGAUUCAGCCGUUGGUCUUUGAAAUUUCCUGUGAUGUGUUUCAAUCUAGAUGCAAAGAACAUGGAAAAAUCAAAGUGCUCGAGUGGUUUAAAUAUGUUUUGGGUAUUCCUGUUUAUAGACUAUAAUACUUUUCCAAUUAAAAUCCUCAGUUGUCACGCAGAAGAAGGUUAAGCUGUAUUUGAUUGCCAGUUUUACUGAAAAUGCUUAGUAUUUUACAGUAUCACCAAAUAUAUUUUGUUUAGCCAAGGUAUAGGAAAAAUAAAAUAAAUUGUAUAGGUUGACUUUUUUCUAAAAUGUCUUUAUUGGAUUGAAUGAAUGUUUAUACCUGAAAAAAAAAGGUUCAAAAAAAUUCCUUUUUCUAUCAGAGUCAUUCUUUUGACAAUCAGAUAUUAGACUAGGUUUAAAAUAACUUUCUAAUAUGACUCAUAUUUAUGGGAGGAAAAAGACUUGAAAGAUAUUCCUAUGUGUACUUUAAUUUUCUGUAAUAGUCCCUCUGGAAUAGAAUAUCUCUUCCUCAAACAAAUCUAUUGGCUCAUUUCAUAUACAAGAAAAAGUUGCCCUAAAUGGCAGAGUUUCAUCUCUGUAAAGAAGGCUGACAUCCACUUCCUUCACAGAAUCCCUGCAUUUGGGUAAUUGAGUAAUGAUAGAUUACCUUGCCAUUGGGAAAUACCUUGUUGUGGCCUUUGUAGCAGCUAUAGGAAGAUGGAAGAAUUCUUUUGUAUAGACAGGUCUCUAGCCUCUUUGGUGUGGACACUGUGAAGGGGUACAUCUGGUGAGAAGGAGUGCUUAGGGAAGGAACUGGGAAGGUCCACAAAGGCUGAUGAUGACAAAGAAUCCAAGGGCUAUGAUGAAUUCUUAAGCUUAGAUCUCAGAGUCAUAAAGUAAAUUUAUUAGGCUAGAGAGAUUUCCUUUUUUAUUUUUGAUCAAACUUUAUUUUUUCAGAUUGUUAAGUUCACAUGCAGUUGUACAAAAUAAUACAGAGAUCUUUGAACACUACCCAGUUUCUCCUAAUAGUAACUUCUUGCAAUAUACUGUAUAGCACAGCAUCACAACCUGGAUACUGACAUUGAUGCAGUCAAGACAGAGAACAUUUAUAUCAUGAGGAGGAUCCCUCAUUACCGCCCUUUGAUAUCCACCCCUACUUCCAGACCAUCUCACUCCUCCCUUAACCCUGGCAACCACUAGCAUGUUCUCCAUUUCUAUAAAUUUGCCUUUAUAGGAAUGUUAUAUAAUUGCAAUUAAAGUGUGUAACCUUUUGGGGUUUGACUCACCCGGCAUCAUUUUCUGGAGAUUCAGCUUAUAUGUGUCAAUAGUUUGUUCCCUUUUUUUUAGUUCAGUAGUAUUCUGUGGUACGUGUGUACCACAUCACUCAUCAAUUCGGACUUCUGGGUUGUAUCUGGUAUUUGAUUAUUACAAAUAGAAGUACUAUAUAUAUAUUCGUGUAGAGGUUUCUGUGUGAACAUAAACUUUCAUUUUCCUGGGACAGAUGCCCACGAGUGAAAAUUGUGAGUCAUAUGGUAAUUAUGUAGAGUAUUUUUUUUUUGAGACGAUUUGUUUAUGAUUUUAAAACAUAAAAAUAUAAGUUGUAGCCAAAUAUAAGGAAGGAUUUUUCCACAAUCUAGACUUUAUUCUUAUUUUAGAGAAAUACUUUUGAAAAAAUUGCUUUAUUGGCAAACAAUUCCUAUGUAAAGGAAUAAAAGACGCAUAUACUCUAGGAAAGAUGUUGCAAAGCUGACAGGCAACUUUGAGAAAGAUGAGGGCAGUUUUCCAGUGUUACUGGAGACUUGACAUUCAAGGAUGUAUUAUGAUAGUUUCUGAAUUGAUAGAUUCUUUAGCGUUUGUCACUACCCUCAGGCCUGCAGUUUUUAUUUGUAGAAUUAACUCAUCUUUACAAUGCUUUGUUGAGUGCUGUUGCAGAAAAUGCUCAUGUAAUUCAAUUAUAUGCAGUUAGGAAAAAGAAGUAUCUUUUUCUAGUACAUGGCCCCUAAAAUGAUGACUUUCCACAAUGCUGAAUGGAGGAAACAGCUCUGUUUCCAUCAAACUCUGGUGGAAAUUAUACAAAGUUAUAUUAUGCUUUAUGAGACAUAGUGAGGUAGUACACAACCAUAUAUGCUAUAUUAUUGGGGAGACCCACUGAAAGAAUUUUCAAGGAUAAUUUUUGCUCUGAUUUUCUAUCAUGUAUAUUGACUUUAUUGAUUGAUUGAUUGAGAUGGAGUCUCACCCCGUCACCCAGGCUGAAGUGCAGUGGUGCAAUCUCUGCUCACUGCAACCUCCGCCUCUCAGGUUCAAGUGAUCCUCGUGCCUCAGCCUCCCGAGUAGCUGAGACUAUAGGUGUGUGCUACGAUGCCCAGCUAAUUUUUGUAUUUUUAGUAGAGACAGGAUUUGGUAGCCUGGUCUCGAACUCCUGACCUCAGGUGAUCUACCCACCUUGGCCUCCCAAAAUACUGGGAUUACAGGUGUGAGCCACCGUGCUGGCCAAGUAUAUUGACUUUAAAACGUUACCGGCUGGGCGUGGUGGUUCACGCCUGUUAUCCCAGCACUUUGGGAGCCCGAGGCGGAUGGAUUACCUGAAGUCAGGAGUUCGAGACCAGCCCAACCUGGUGAAACCCCGUCUCUACUAAAAAUACACAAAUUAGCCGGGCGUGGUGGCAGGCGCCUAUAAUCCCAACUACUGGGAAGGCUGAGGCAGGAGAAUUGCUUGAACCUGGCAGGCGGAGGCUGCAGUGAGCCAAGACUGCGCCACUGCACUCCAGCCUGGGCAACAAGAGCAAAACUCAGUCUCAAAAAAAACAGAAAAAAAAAGUUACCACGGGUGAAACAUUGGGCUGGUCACAGUGAUCCUUCUAACAGCAGUCAAUAUUAUAAAUCUAGCUUUUUUUUUUGAGUGAGAUACUAGGCCCAGGGAACCCGAGUCUUUCAAUCCUCAUGAAUAUAGUUUAAUCUUUAGCUCAUUAUGGUCAUGACCAUAGUUAAAUAAAUGACACGAGAUAAUAAAAUAGUCUUUGCCCUUAAAACUGACCUGGGUAAAAGGAUGUACACUUGAAUCUUUGAAUACCAGAAUAGUCAUUCAUUCAUUGAGCCGUGUUGUAGCAUCCCAUCUUCUGGCACUUCCAGCACUGGGAACCCAUCAUAAAGAAGGCACUACAGGCCAGGCGCUGUGGCUCACGCCUGUAAUCCCAGCACUUUGGGAGGCCAAGGCAGGCGGAUCACCUGAGGUCAGGAGUUCGAGACCAGCCUGGCCAACAUGGUGAAACCCCAUCUCUACUAAAAAUACAAAAAGUAACUGGGCAUGGUGGCAGGCGCCUGUAAUCCCAGCUACUUGGGAGGGUAAGGCCAGAGCAUCGCUUGAACCCGGAAGGCAGAGGUUGCAGUGAGCCAAGAUCCUGCCAUUGCACUCCAGCCUGGGGGAUAAGAGCGAGACUUCGUCUAAAAAAAAUAAAAAUAAAAAGGCACUACAGCACCUGUUCUCUUAGUGUAGCUCUAUUAGCUCUUAGACUAGGGGGUAGGGAUGGGAAAAAGUAAAAAGAAACUGAGAAACCAAUCUAAUUACGCAUAAUCAGAAAUCCAAAGCUUCCAGAAUUCAUGAGGAAAAAGAACUGCAGCUGAUGGAGUAGGCAUUACAGAGAAUGAGAGGCUUGCUUUUUUUUUAAGUUUCAUUUUAUUUGUAAUUGACACAAUAGCACAUAUUUACGGGAUACAGUGUGACAUUUUAAUACAUUUACAUAUUGUGUAAUGAUCAAAUUAGGAUAAUUAGCUUAUGUAUCACUUCAAAAACAUAAUUUCUUUGUGAUGAGAACAUUCAAAAUCUUCUAGUAUUUUGAAAUACAUAAUG
rnacentral:lncRNA from 1 species